UACGAAGGGGGCUAGCGUUGCUCGGAAUUACUGGGCGUAAAGCGCACGUAGGCGGCUUCUUAAGUCGGUGGUGAAAUCCUGGAGCUCAACUCCAGAACUGCCUUCGAUACUGGGAAGCUCGAGUCCGGGAGAGGUGAGUGGAACUGCGAGUGUAGAGGUGAAAUUCGUAGAUAUUCGCAAGAGCACCAGUGGCGAAGGCGGCUCACUGGCCCGGUACUGACGCUGAGGAGCGAAAGCGUGGGGAGCAAACAGG
rnacentral:rRNA from 1 species